rnacentral:rRNA from 1 species
UACGUAGGGGGCAAGCGUUGUCCGGAAUUACUGGGCGUAAAGCGCGUGUAGGCGGGACGACAAGUCCGGCGUGAAAGGCUCGGGCUCAACCCGAGACGGCCGUUAGAAACUGUCGUUCUUGAGGGUCGAAGAGGAGAGUGGAAUUCCUGGUGUAGCGGUGAAAUGCGCAGAUAUCAGGAAGAACACCAAUGGCGAAGGCAGCUCUCUGGGACGGUACUGACGCUGAGACGCGAAAGCGUGGGGAGCGAACAGG